GACGAGCGGCGGACGGGUGAGUAACGCGUAGGAAUCUACCCAGUAGCGGGGGAUAGCCCGGGGAAACUCGGAUUAAUACCGCAUACGCCCUACGGGGGAAAGGCGGGGAUCUCUUCGGAGACCUGUCACUAUUGGAGGAGCCUGCGUUGGAUUAGCUAGUUGGUGAGGUAAAGGCUCACCAAGGCGACGAUCCAUAGCUGGUCUGAGAGGACGAUCAGCCACACUGGAACUGAGACACGGU
rnacentral:rRNA from 1 species